rnacentral:rRNA from 1 species
AUUGAACGCUGGCGGCAUGCCUUACACAUGCAAGUCGAACGGUAACAGGUUAAGCUGACGAGAGGCGAACGGGUGAGUAAUGCAUCGGAACGUGCCCGAUCGUGGGGGAUAACGCAGCGAAAGCUGCGCUAAUACCGCAUACGAUCUGAGGAUGAAAGCGGGGGACCGUAAGGCCUCGCGCGAUCGGAGCGGCCGAUGUCAGAUUAGGUAGUUGGUGGGGUAAAGGCUCACCAAGCCAACGAUCUGUAGCUGGUCUGAGAGGACGACAAGCCACACUGGGACUGGGACACGCCCCAGACUCCUACGGGAGGCAGCAGUGGGGAAUUUUGGACAAUGGGCGAAAGCCUUAUCCAGCAAUGCCGCGUGCAGGAAGAAGGCCUUCGGGUUGUAAACUGCUUUUGUACGGAGCGAAAAGGCUCUCUCUAAUACAGGGGGCUCGUGACGGUACCGUAAGAAUAAGCACCGGCUAACUACGUGCCAGCCGCCGCCGUAA